CCUCAUCUUCCCUGCCUCAUCCACAGAAAGAGACAUCCUUGCUGGGUGGAAAAAUUCAAAGAGACAGACAGGGAGGGCUUCUGCAAGCUAGAGAGUAUCCUGGAGCUAGCCCAGUGGGAGAAAAAGCACAAGAUGUCCCUAGGGAGGUAGCAAGCACCACUCUAAUCUUGGGUACACUUGGGUGAAGGAUGGCAUGGUCUGUGCUUCGGUAUAAGUGUUCUCCAAAUCUGUGAAAAAAAAAUAAAUCAGGAGCAUUUUUCAAGCUGAGAGAGAGAGAUAGAUUAUAUAGGUUUAGGCAUGAAGAGGCCGAUCUAAAGGCCUCUUUACUGUGUACUUUAACUUCUGUAUCAAAUGUUUGAAUAUGCCUGUUUGAUAGAAAAGUGAUCUUAGUUGAUUCGUAUUUUUAUUUACAGUGACGUUUAGAAAUAAAUUUUAAAAAGGAUUUAAGAAUUAAAAAACUGUACAAAAACAAUAUCUGUGAAUUUUUAAGACUGCUUGUAUUUAGAGCUAUUUGUUGGAGCAAAAUCCAUUAAAAAACAGAAUGAACUGUGCUAGUCAGAAAACUCAGAGCAAGUCAUAAACUCCAAAGGCGCAGCUCCAGAAUUCAGCCACUGUGAUGUAAACAAUAUGAGUCUAAUAUAACAUAUAAACUUCUCCAAAGCAUUUAUCACUGUAGUAUCUAGGCCAUGUACAUAGAUUUCAGAAUAUAGUGGGAUCUGUCCAGAAGGGAUGAUCAAUUUCCCAUUCAUCUGCUGUGCUGCCCAUUGGCUUUGCCAUUACGUUUAAAAUAAUGGAAGUUACUCUCUGAUCACGAGCAUGUAAUUCACAAAUGGGCUGCCCUGAUGUGAUUUUGAUGCAGGCAUUCAGCCAAGGAGCAGUGCGGUGGAAGAGCAGCUUCCAUCAGAGCCAGAGGGAUGAGAGCUGGAUGCUGCAGAAAAGGAACAGGCCUCACAGAAAGCAGGCUCAAGGAUCUGCAGCAUCCAAAGCCAGCAGACCACAGCUCUUUGCAGGAUCCUGCCUACCCGUGGGCUCUGCUUGGCAGGGCUGCCUGCUGGGAGCCAGCUAGAGCAACCUCCAGCACUGCGUAUUGGCAGCGUGCAGCCGGGCAGACGGCGCAGUCACCGAUUAAUAGCAGACAGCAAUAUUUAAACUAAUCAUUACAGGGAUCGGCAUAAAACAAAACUCUUAUUAAAAUUAACAGCACAGUCACUGAAACUGAUGCUGUUUCAUGCUAUUCAUUAGCUAACAACUGAAUCUAGCCAACAGCCCUUGACUGGGGCUGGUGGUGCUUUUAGUCCUGUGUCUUCUGGAGACAAGGCUGAUGUGAGGUCAGAUGCUGUGUGGACACAUUGGUGUAACCAAAUGGAGUCGUGCUAAGAGGGAAGGACUCCAGCCUCGGGCCCGUGAGGUGGGAAAUGGCUCCGAGCUGCUCACUGCCAUGACCAGACAGGUGCUGAGAGCAGCUACAAGACUCCACAUAAGGACACAGGGAGAAUUUACACCAAAAAAAAGAACCUCUCCAGCACACUAAAUUAAUUGCUAAGGUGGACAUAUGUUCCUGAUAGCUUUUGAACUAUUUGACAGAGUAUGAAAGGCUUUACAGUUAAUCAGCCUCUAAAAUGUUCAUGAAAAGGGGUAGAUAGACAGAGCCCUUAUUAAUGUCCCCAGUGAUGGAAAGGAAGCUCUAUGCACUCACACUUCGAGGAGCAGUGAAUCCACAAAAUAAAAUCCUCAAAACAAAGCUGCCGAGGGACCUA
rnacentral:lncRNA from 1 species